AGGACUCUCCAGAGAGUCGCCACUGGCAGAAGAUUCUCCAGAGACAGUCAUGUGACAUUGGAACUCUCAGCCUCCAGAACUAGUGUGUUUCAGAGCCAGCCACUUAACUGAAGACAGGAAUUCCAAAAUAUUUAUCUACCAAAGAGUUGGCUCAACUUUUCACCAUAGCAUGACUGAGUGAACAUAUUUGAGUUAUCAGUUCUCCUAUUUCAUGACACAGAAAAUUCCCCAAGUGACUGAGAGCUUAUAUUUUCCUGGAACUGAAGACGUGAAUAAGGAUUGAUGUAAUUUUCAUCUGUAAUAUUUCCAGAGAGGAAUUGGGCACAUCUUGACAUUUAGGGAACAGUAGUUAGUAGUAAAUGUUUCUCCAGAGUUUUUAGACUCCAUCGUCACUAUUUAUUAUAGAUUGGAAAUUCAUUUUGGUGGUCUGCUGGUCCAAGACAGUGAAUCACAACCCAAAUAUCAGCCCCUCCCCAUCAAAAGAAGAGAUUAUUCUGUUUCUGGUGUCUAAGGAUUAUUAAAUAUUUGAGAUGAAUUUAUAUUAAUAUGUUACCUUAAAUACAAACAAUCAACAAAAGAUUAAGCUGUCUGUUUUGUGAUCUUAUUUAUUUCUUCAAGAAACAAUGAAAACUUCUCAUUUGGUUUUGGAACUUACUAUUUGGAACUUUAUGAUACAGGAUAUUGUAUGUUAGCCUGAGUCCACCUCCCCCCUUGAAAAAGGAUAGUCAAAUAAUAAACUUUGCCAACUCUGAGGCUCUGUGUAUUCCUGUUCCUGCUCUGAGUGUCCAGGAAGAACAGCAGACUCCUAAGAACAUUAAUGAAAACAACAACAACAACAACAGCAACACGUGAAGGUUACAUUCACAGAGAGAUCUGCCAUAACCAGCACAGCAGCUGGUUGAAAGCUACAGAAGAGACUGAACUGAUUCAAUGCAUGUCAAGAGUUUUU
rnacentral:lncRNA from 1 species